GAUACCCUGCGAUGUACGACAUCCUUUUCCAUUUAUAAUCCGACAAGCAUAAAUUUAGGGCUUUAAGUGUCUCCAGCAGACUAGUGCAGACCUCCCGCCUUCCCCCUGAGGGUUGCGUGGAAGAAGGGAGCGCGAUGUUUGUGGGCGCUCACCCACCUGUCUAGGACGGGGUUUUAUACGGGGAAGGUAACGGCAUUGCGGGGUGUUA
rnacentral:other from 1 species